AAAUUGAAGAGUUUGAUCAUGGCUCAGAUUGAACGCUGGCGGCAGGCCUAACACAUGCAAGUCGAGCGGUAGCACAGAGAGCUUGCUCUCGGGUGACGAGCGGCGGACGGGUGAGUAAUGUCUGGGAAACUGCCUGAUGGAGGGGGAUAACUACUGGAAACGGUAGCUAAUACCGCAUAACGUCGCAAGACCAAAGUGGGGGACCUUCGGGCCUCAUGCCAUCAGAUGUGCCCAGAUGGGAUUAGCUAGUAGGUGGGGUAACGGCUCACCUAGGCGACGAUCCCUAGCUGGUCUGAGAGGAUGACCAGCCACACUGGAACUGAGACACGGUCCAGACUCCUACGGGAGGCAGCAGUGGGGAAUAUUGCACAAUGGGCGCAAGCCUGAUGCAGCCAUGCCGCGUGUGUGAAGAAGGCCUUCGGGUUGUAAAGCACUUUCAGCGGGGAGGAAGGCGUUAAGGUUAAUAACCUUGGCGAUUGACGUUACCCGCAGAAGAAGCACCGGCUAACUCCGUGCCAGCAGCCGCGGUAAUACGGAGGGUGCAAGCGUUAAUCGGAAUUACUGGGCGUAAAGCGCACGCAGGCGGUCUGUCAAGUCGGAUGUGAAAUCCCCGGGCUUAACCUGGGAACUGCAUUCGAAACUGGCAGGCUAGAGUCUUGUAGAGGGGGGUAGAAUUCCAGGUGUAGCGGUGAAAUGCGUAGAGAUCUGGAGGAAUACCGGUGGCGAAGGCGGCCCCCUGGACAAAGACUGACGCUCAGGUGCGAAAGCGUGGGGAGCAAACAGGAUUAGAUACCCUGGUAGUCCACGCCGUAAACGAUGUCGAUUUGGAGGUUGUGCCCUUGAGGCGUGGCUUCCGGAGCUAACGCGUUAAAUCGACCGCCUGGGGAGUACGGCCGCAAGGUUAAAACUCAAAUGAAUUGACGGGGGCCCGCACAAGCGGUGGAGCAUGUGGUUUAAUUCGAUGCAACGCGAAGAACCUUACCUGGUCUUGACAUCCACAGAACUU
rnacentral:rRNA from 1 species